UACGAAGGGGGCUAGCGUUGUUCGGAAUCACUGGGCGUAAAGGGCGCGUAGGCGGCUUUAUAAGUCGGGGGUGAAAGCCUGUGGCUCAACCACAGAAUUGCCUUCGAUACUGUAGAGCUUGAGACCGGAAGAGGUAAGUGGAACUGCGAGUGUAGAGGUGAAAUUCGUAGAUAUUCGCAAGAACACCAGUGGCGAAGGCGGCUUACUGGUCCGGUUCUGACGCUGAGGCGCGAAAGCGGUGGGGAGCAAACAGG
rnacentral:rRNA from 1 species